rnacentral:misc_RNA from 1 species
GUAAGCCGUUCUUAUCAAUUUAGGUUCCCAAAAGCACAUGGAAAACAGAUAAAAUAUCAUGGGAAACUAUCACGAACCCAAUUCAAAUAACCCAACAACGAUCAGACUCAAUCAACCAAACUAGUUUGUCAACCAGUAUAUAUAGAUAUAACACGCACACAAAAACAACAAUCUAACGCUGAAAAUGUUAAUGUUCCAUUUCGACAUCAUCAUCCGUCACCGUGAAGCAAUGCAGAGCACCAGGAACAAGUUUUUCUGUGCCACUCCAGCAGAUUAUUUGCCCUCGGAAACAAAACCAAGCGAAGCCUCACCUCAACUCGCCUCCUCUCGGGCGAGCAGAGGCUCAGCCAGCCAUGGGGUGGUUGGCGACGUACUCGAUGGCCAGAGGGAGUGAGUCGAUCUUGUCAGCCUCCAUGUCUGGGAUCUCGAGCUUGAACUCCUCCUCGAUGGCCAUGACCACCUCGACGGUGUCCAGGCUGUCGAGCCCCAGAUCCUUCUCGAAGUGCGCCUCCGGGGUCACCUGCCGCCGCCCGCGGCCACAGCCUAGGGUUAGUAGGAUUUGUGGGGCUCGACGCCAUCGUGAUGCGGGAUUGGGUGGAGGGUUCGGUUACCUUGGAGGGGUCGAUCUUGGGGUGGCUCUUGAUGACGUCGAGGAUCCGGUCGAUGACUUCGUCGCGGGUGAGGUGCGCGUCGUGGGAGGACAUGGGCCGCGCGAGCCACCGCCCCAGCGCGUGCGGGUGGGAUGCACCUGUCCCAGCGGCGGCGAGGGCGAGCGAAGGGGAGGGGGAGAGGCGGAUGCGGCGGAGGAUCGCCGGACGGAGCGCUGCCGCCGCCAUUUCUCGCUGUGGGUUCGGAUUUUACUGGCCGGUACACAGAGGAG